GUUAAAUUUUUGUUAUUGUAGUUGUUGCACAUUGGUUAUCUAUAUUAUAACCUUAGGAUGCUAAUUUCUUCCCUUCCCCGGAAUGGGCUAUGUCAUCACUCAAGGCUUUGUCCUUCACAUGCUCCCUCUCUUUGCAACUGAUGUCACAAAGUUCUGCUGACAUACUCUGUGACACAGCUGUUUGGAACUUACCUUAUGGCCCCAUUCUGAGCUGCUAGCUCCCAUCUCCCCACCCAGGAAGCAGCUCCUAUGGCCGAUCCCCAAGUGCAGGGGUCUCUGGGCUUCUGUCUUCCCUGAUAAGCCCACACAUGGGAGACAGAGAGCUCAGGGUGGGACUUGGGCUUCUUUCAGAAUGAGUCUGUGCCAUAGAGCUGCACCUCAGCCUUAAGGACAUGCUCAAAAUGCCCAUCUCUAUACGUUGAAUCAAGGACCUCUGGGGCAGACUGACUGACUGAAGUGAGGGUCAUGCUUUUCUUGUCCUUCUUCUUGUAAGUUUUUUGAACAUGCCAGUGAAAAAGCAGUUCAGCCAUUUGGUGAAAGAAAUUUCCAUUUACCAACAUAGGAAGAGUUCAUAUUCACAGACUCCAAACAUAGAUAGAG
rnacentral:lncRNA from 1 species